rnacentral:rRNA from 1 species
UACGGGGGGGGCAAGCGUUGUUCGGAAUUACUGGGCGUAAAGGGCUCGUAGGCGGCCAACUAAGUCAGACGUGAAAUCCCUCGGCUUAACCGGGGAACUGCGUCUGAUACUGGAUGGCUAGAGGUUGGGAGAGGGAUGCGGAAUUCCAGGUGUAGCGGUGAAAUGCGUAGAUAUCUGGAGGAACACCAAUGGCGAAGGCAGCUCGCUGGGACGGUACUGACGCUAAGGCGCGAAAGCGUGGGGAGCGAACAGG